rnacentral:rRNA from 1 species
AAAGCGCGCGUAGGUGGUUUGUUAAGUUGGAUGUGAAAGCCCCGGGCUCAACCUGGGAACUGCAUUCAAAACUGACAAGCUAGAGUAUGGUAGAGGGUGGUGGAAUUUCCUGUGUAGCGGUGAAAUGCGUAGAUAUAGGAAGGAACACCAGUGGCGAAGGCGACCACCUGGACUGAUACUGACACUGAGGUGCGAAAGCGUGGGGAGCAAACAGGAUUAGAUACCCGAGU